rnacentral:rRNA from 1 species
ACGUAAUAGAUACCCAGGUAGUCCACGCCGUAAACGAUGGGCACUAGAUGCUUGGGGGAGCGACCCCCUGAGUGUCGGCGCUAAACGCAUUAAGUGCCCCGCCUGGGGAGUACGGCCGCAAGGCUGAAACUCAAAGGAAUUGACGGGGGCCCGCACAAGCGGUGGAGCAUGUGGUUUAAUUCGACGCAACGCGAAGAACCUUACCUGGGCUUGACAUGGCCGGGAAACCCUCUGGAAACAGGGGGCCUCCUUCGGGACCCGGUCACAGGUGCUGCAUGGCUGUCGUCAGCUCGUGUCGUGAGAUGUUGGGUUAAGUCCCGCAACGAGCGCAACCCUCGCCCCUAGUUACCAGCGGGUCAUGCCGGGGGACUCUAGGGGGACUGCCGGUGCCAAACCGGAGGAAGGUGAGGACGACGUCAAGUCAUCAUGGCCCUUACGCCCAGGGCCACACACGUGCUACAAUGGCGGGGACAGCAGGCCGCGAGCCGGCAACGGUGAGCCAAUCCCCAAACCCCGCCUCAGUUCGGAUUGUCCUCUGCAACU